rnacentral:rRNA from 1 species
CAGUCACACGAGUUUGAUCAUGGCUCAGAACGAACGCUGGCGGCAGGCCUAACACAUGCAAGUCGAACGCUGUAGCAAUACAGAGUGGCAGACGGGUGAGUAACACGUGGGAACGUACCCUUCGGUUCGGAAUAACUCAGGGAAACUUGAGCUAAUACCGGAUACGUCCGAGAGGAGAAAGAUUUAUCGCCGAAGGAUCGGCCCGCGUCUGAUUAGCUUGUUGGUGAGGUAACGGCUCACCAAGGCGACGAUCAGUAGCUGGUCUGAGAGGAUGAUCAGCCACAUUGGGACUGAGACACGGCCCAAACUCCUACGGGAGGCAGCAGUGGGGAAUAUUGGACAAUGGGCGCAAGCCUGAUCCAGCCAUGCCGCGUGAGUGAUGAAGGCCCUAGGGUUGUAAAGCUCUUUUACUCGGGAAGAUAAUGACGGUACCGAGAGAAUAAGCCCCGGCUAACUUCGUG